rnacentral:rRNA from 1 species
UACGUAGGGCGCAAGCGUUGUCCGGAAUUAUUGGGCGUAAAGAGCUCGUAGGCGGCCUGUUGCGUCCGCUGUGAAAUCCCGGGGCUCAACCGCGGGCCUGCAGCCGAUACGGGCAGGCUAGAGUUCGGUAGGGGAGACUGGAAUUCCUGGUGUAGCGGUGAAAUGCGCAGAUAUCAGGAGGAACACCGAUGGCGAAGGCAGGUCUCUGGGCCGAUACUGACGCUGAGGAGCGAAAGCGUGGGGAGCGAACAGG